rnacentral:rRNA from 1 species
UACGGAGGGGGUUAGCGUUGUUCGGAAUUACUGGGCGUAAAGCGCACGUAGGCGGACUUGAAAGUUGGGGGUGAAAUCCCGGGGCUCAACCUCGGAACUGCCUUCAAAACUCCAAGUCUAGAGUUCGAGAGAGGUGAGUGGAAUUCCGAGUGUAGAGGUGAAAUUCGUAGAUAUUUGGAGGAACACCAGUGGCGAAGGCGGCUCACUGGCUCGAUACUGACGCUGAGGUGCGAAAGUGUGGGGAGCAAACAGG